AGAGUUUGAUCAUGGCUCAGAACGAACGCUGGCGGCAGGCCUAACACAUGCAAGUCGAACGCACCGCAAGGUGAGUGGCGCACGGGUGAGUAACACGUGGGAAUGUACCCUUUGGUUCGGAAUAACGUUUGGAAACGAACGCUAAUACCGGAUGAGCCCUACGGGGGAAAGAUUUAUCGCCAAAGGAGCAGCCCGCGUCUGAUUAGCUAGUUGGUGGGGUAAAGGCCUACCAAGGCGACGAUCAGUAGCUGGUCUGAGAGGAUGAUCAGCCACACUGGGACUGAGACACGGCCCAGACUCCUACGGGAGGCAGCAGUGGGGAAUAUUGGACAAUGGGCGAAAGCCUGAUCCAGCCAUGCCGCGUGAGUGAUGAAGGCCUUCGGGUUGUAAAGCUCUUUCGCACACGACGAUGAUGACGGUAGUGUGAGAAGAAGCCCCGGCUAACUUCGUGCCAGCAGCCGCGGUAAUACGAAGGGGGCUAGCGUUGUUCGGAAUUACUGGGCGUAAAGGGCGCGUAGGCGGCUUAUCAAGUCAGGCGUGAAAGCCCCGGGCUUAACCUGGGAACUGCGCUUGAGACUGUUAGGCUUGAGUACCGGAGAGGUAGGUGGAAUUCCCAGUGUAGAGGUGAAAUUCGUAGAUAUUGGGAAGAACACCAGUGGCGAAGGCGGCCUACUGGACGGUAACUGACGCUGAGGCGCGAAAGCGUGGGGAGCAAACAGGAUUAGAUACCCUGGUAGUCCACGCCGUAAACGAUGUCGGCUAGACGUUGGGGCUCUUAGAGUUUCAGUGUCGCAGCUAACGCAUUAAGCCGACCGCCUGGGGAGUACGGCCGCAAGGUUGAAACUCAAAUGAAUUGACGG
rnacentral:rRNA from 1 species